rnacentral:lncRNA from 1 species
GAGGGGUUAAAGUGUGGCACGCCACCUCAGGUGACACCCGGGCAGAAGGCCGCUUCCUUAAUUACACUGUUGCCUCUUACUGAUGUGUCAAUGUGAAUUAACCUACUACCCCCCCUUCACGUGUACAGAAACACACCACUAAUGUGCACGUUGGUGGUUAGCAGCUACCAUGGGGGUGUUUACAAUUCUCCCUGGCUAGCAGCUAUUCAAGUUAGACGGUGUCAAGAGAUGCCAUGUACAGCUCAGCAUCCCGUGUGGCUCAGUUGGUAGAGCAUGGUGUUCGAUUCCCACGGGGGACCAGUACGGGGGGGAAAAAAAUGUAUGAAAUGUAUGCAUUCACUACUGUAUGUCGCUCUGGAUAAGAGCGUCUGCUAAAUGACAAAAAAAAAAGAAGAAAAAAAAAAAGAGAGAGAGAUCAGGUGUUGAGGACAACAACAAAAUAAACGACAGUGACUCUACAUAGAAGUAGAGUAACCGUGGUUACAGAAUCCUGUUGCCACAGCUGCCGUUAUGAGUGUGUGUGUGUGUGUGGGCCUGUCCACUAAAACCCUCACCAGAUGGUCGACACCUCGCCACGUCGCCAUAACAACCCUCACUAGGCCUAAACACACUGCUACAACACACAGACCGACCAAGCUGAGGCUCUGGCUGCCUCGACCGAGACACUAAAGCCCUGUCAUUAAACCAGGCAUCCUGUUAACCAGCGGCGUGUGUUUCUAUGUUUUACAGCGUUCAGACAGUAUGCAUGGACAGGUCAGUGUUGGUGGUUAGCUAUGGACAGGUCAGUGUUGGUGGUUAGCUAUGGACAGGUCAGUGUUGGUGGUUAGCUGUGUGUUAGCUAUGGACAGGUCAGUGUUGGUGGAUAGCUGUGUAUUAGCUAUGGACAGGUCAGUGUUGGUGGAUAGCUGUGUAUUAGCUAUGGACAGGUCAGUGUUGGUGGAUAGCUGUGUGUUAGCUAUGGACAGGUCAGUGUUGGUGGAUAGCUGUGUAUUAGCUAUGGACAGGUCAGUGUUGGUGGUUAGCUGUGUAUUAGCUAUGGACAGGUCAGUGUUGGUGGAUAGCUGUGUGUUAGCUAUGGACAGGUCAGUGUUGGUGGAUAGCUGUGUGUUAGCUAUGGACAGGUCAGUGUUGGUGGUUAGCUGUGUAUUAGCUAUGGACAGGUCAGUGUUGGUGGAUAGCUGUGUAUUAGCUAUGGACAGGUCAGUGUUGGUGGAUAGCUGUGUGUUAGCUAUGGACAGGUCAGUGUUGGUGGUUAGCUAUGGACAGGUCAGUGUUGGUGGAUAGCUGUGUAUUAGCUAUGGACAGGUCAGUGUUGGUGGUUAGCUAUGGACAGGUCAGUGUUGGUGGAUAGCUGUGUAUUAGCUAUGGACAGGUCAGUGUUGGUGGAUAGCUGUGUAUUAGCUAUGGACAGGUCAGUGUUGGUGGUUAGCUGUGUAUUAGCUAUGGACAGGUCAGUGUUGGUGGAUAGCUGUGUAUUAGCUAUGGACAGGUCAGUGUUGGUGGAUAGCUGUGUAUUAGCUAUGGACAGGUCAGUGUUGGUGGAUAGCUGUGUAUUAGCUAUGGACAGGUCAGUGUUGGUGGAUAGCUGUGUAUUAGCUAUGGACAGGUCAGUGUUGGUGGAUAGCUGUGUGUUAGCUAUGGACAGGUCAGUGCGUGUUCUCGGUUAGCUGUGUGUGUGUGUGUGUGUGUGUGUGUGUGUGUGUGUGUGUGUGUGUGUGUGUGUGUGUGUGUGUAUAGGGCAGGCUUAGGGAACUGUGUGUUGAUUGUUAGGGCUGGGAUAAUACCAGUAUCGUAAAUAUUGCAAAUCUUUCCAUGGCAACAAAAAAAAAAACGGUCCUUUAAAAACAUGCUGUAUGCACAAUAUUGCGUUCUAUAACCUGGGAAAUAAAUACAAGUGACUCUGGAUGACAUCAUAAUGAUGCUUGUUUCCAACAUUAGAGCUGUUUUCCUAAAGGAGUUACAUCUGAUAAAUGUUUUGUUUCCUUGCCACGAUACUAAGGAACAUGGCGAUGCCGCUACGGUCCCGCUCUAGUGACUGUGUCUGAUAUAGACAGGUCCUUGUAUAUGGACUGCUAAGUGUGUUUGUGGGCAGGUCAAUGUGUUCUUGGACUGUCGUCCUGCGUUACAGUCACAGGCUCAACCCUUCGCUCCACCUCAGGCUUUUCCUCUACUACUAACACAGAACAGGGACAUUUACAGAACUAACAGUGACAGUCAAACAGGGGAGGCCACUUACUACUAAAACAUGACAGCAGAUCAGUUUGCCCAGGCUCCUUUGUCACACACUGUCCCGUAUACUACACACUGGUAUACUACGCACUAUGUACUCAUCGUUGCUUACUAACCUCCAGAAGACAAGGUCAGUACAGGUGCAUCAAAGCUGGGACCGAGAGACAAAAAAAACCAGCUUCUAUCUCAAGGCCAUCAGACUGUUAAAUAACCAUCCCUAGCCAGCUACCACCUGGUUACUCAACCCUGUACCGUAGAGGCUGCUGCCCUAUAUACAUAGACAUGGAAUCACUGACCACUUUAAUAAUGUUUACAUACUGCUUUACUCAUCUCAUAUGUAUAUACUGUAUUGUAUUUUACUGUAUUUUAGGCUAUGCCACUCUGACAUU